rnacentral:rRNA from 1 species
CGAGCGCUUCUAGCUUGCUAGAGGAGCGGCGAACGGGUGAGUAACGCGUAGGAAUCUGCCUGAUAGUGGGGGACAACGUCUCGAAAGGGACGCUAAUACCGCAUACGCCCUACGGGGGAAAGGGGGGGAUCUUCGGACCUCUCGCUAUCAGAUGAGCCUGCGUCGGAUUAGCUAGUUGGUGAGGUAAAGGCUCACCAAGGCGACGAUCCGUAGCUGGUCUGAGAGGAUGAUCAGCCACACCGGAACUGAGACACGGUCCGGACUCCUACGGGAGGCAGCAGUGGGGAAUAUUGGACAAUGGGGGCAACCCUGAUCCAGCCAUGCCGCGUGUGUGAAGAAGGCCUUCGGGUUGUAAAGCACUUUAAGGGGGGAGGAAGGUUCGCUGGUGAAUAUCCAGCGGAAUUGACGUUACCCCCAGAAUAAGCACCGGCUAACUUCGUGCCAGCAGCCGCGGUAAUACGAGGGGUGCAAGCGUUAAUCGGAAUUACUGGGCGUAAAGCGCGCGUAGGCGGCUGAGUAAGUCGAUUGUGAAAGCCCCGGGCUCAACCUGGGAAUUGCAGUCGAGACUGUCCGGCUAGAGUGUGGGAGAGGGUGGUGGAAUUCCCGGUGUAGCGGUGAAAUGCGUAGAUAUCGGGAGGAACAUCAGUGGCGAAGGCGACCACCUGGCCCAACACUGAC